rnacentral:rRNA from 1 species
UACGUAGGGGGCGAGCGUUGUCCGGAAUUACUGGGCGUAAAGCGCGCGCAGGCGGCCGCGUCAGUCGGACGUGAAAGCCCUCGGCUCAACCGAGGAGGGUCGUCCGGGACGGCGUGGCUCGAGGCUGUCAGAGGGGGGUGGAAUGCCGGGUGGAGCGGUGAAAUGCGUAGAGACCCGGCGGAACACCGGCGGCGAAGGCGGCCCCCUGGGGCAGAUCUGACGCUCAGGCGCGAAGGCCGGGGGAGCGAACGGG